rnacentral:rRNA from 1 species
AACGAACGCUGGCGGCAGGCUUAACACAUGCAAGUCGAACGCGUGUAGCAAUACACGAGUGGCGCACGGGUGAGUAACGCGUGGAUAUCUGCCUUUUGGUUCGGAAUAACCCCGGGAAACUGGGGCUAAUACCGGAUGGUUCCUUCGGGAUAAAGAUUUAUCGCCAAAAGAUGAGUCCGCGUCCGAUUAGCUAGUUGGUGAGGUAAUGGCUCACCAAGGCGACGAUCGGUAGCUGGUCUGAGAGGACGAUCAGCCACACUGGGACUGAGACACGGCCCAGACUCCUACGGGAGGCAG